UUUCCGUAGGUGAACCUGCGGAAGGAUCAUUAUUGAAUGAAACACUUCUGGCUUUCUGCUGUUGUGCUGGCCCUUUGGGCAAUGUGCACACGGCUCUGGUCACUUGUUUCUUCUGUUCCACCUGUGCACUGCCUGUAGACACGCUGUGUCUAUGAUAUUUGUUAACACACAACAAUGUUAGUUGGCAUGUUAUAUAUAAUAAUAAAAUAUACAACUUUCAACAACGGAUCUCUUGGUUCUC
rnacentral:misc_RNA from 1 species